UUCCGACAACGACUUGCGUGAAAUCAUCAAACAGAUUUGUGGCUUUAUUAUGCUUUAGUCUCUGCAUCUUAUAAAACUUGAAAAUUCAUCAUUACUCGUGUCAGUUUGUCCAACGUGGACGUCAUUCUGGAGCAGACACAAGAUGAUGUCUGCAAAGUGGAAAAGCUGCAGAUGGAGACCUCAAAGGCCAGGAAUAAAGCAGACAGAGCAAAGAACACAGCAGAGAGUGUGAAACAGGCACUGGAUGGUGCUCGUAAGGACCAGACAGCUGCUAAAAAGGCCAUCCAGAGGGCAAGAGAUGACAGUGGCAUGACUGAGAACCGACUUGCUGAGGAACAGCUUCUUAAACCUUCUGUUAAAACUUGAACUGUUGAAGUUUUCAGUCUGACAAACAUUCUGUCUCCAAAGAUUCAGUCAGAAACAUCAGCUAGUGAGAAGGACUUGAACAAGGCCAUGGACAAGUUGGGUGAUCUGGGGCGGCAGAUAGUAGCCUUGAAGGCUAAACAGGCCAACAACAGCAUGAUUGCAGCAUGAGCUGAGGAGACUCGCUAAUAUGGCUCAAGACAAGGAUGAUGAAGCAAAGCAGAUUCUGGUUGGUGAACUUUCAGAUAAGUACCGCCCUGUUCAGGAUCUGGUGGGCAGGAAGGCAAAUGCCGUUCAGGAUGCCAAGAAAAAAGCAGAGCAGUUGAGAGAUGAUGCAAAGCAGCUGCUUAAGGAUGCAGGACAAACUGCAGAGACAAGCAGGAGAGUGUGAGAACUCGAGAAAGACUAUAAGGAGAAUCAGAAAACACUGGAGGGCAAAGCCAGACAGUUAGAUGGUCUGGAAGAUAAAAUGAGGCCGGUUCUGGAGGCUCUCAACAAGCAGAUCCAGAUCUACAAUACCUGCCAGUAAAGUGCCAGAGGUCACUGACAGUUCAGUACUGCCCACAAGGCUCCAAGAGCACAUGGAGGAUACUAAACUGGCACUACUGUCAUCAGUGUGAUUACUUGUGUUCAAAUAAAACACUUGUGUAUAUAUAUAUAUAUAUACACAUACAUAUAUAAUUAUAGAUUUGAAAGUUGAUUGUGACGUCAUUUGGCCUGAAGGACACAGAGCAGGUAUCACUGAGGGGAAUGUAAUUCUCUUAGAGCUACAACUCAGAUUUCACACGGACCAUCUACAGGUGUCUUCUGCAGAAACUGGUUCAGAUUUGGCUGAUUAAGGUUCAGACUAAAUUAGGAAUAGGAGGGUUGUUUGUGUGUGUUUUACACUGGACAUCCUGUGUUGGUCUGCACAGUUUCUUCAUCUUUCUGCUGUCCAGAUUCAGCACAUGUAAAGGCUGAUAAUAAUCUGUUGAAUUAGUUGUGUUGGAGCAGAAUGAAAAACGGAACUGCCUUCAGGAACUUGCAGUGAGAUGAAAUCAUUUCAGAUACUUCCACAUCCUGAUGUUGCUCAUCAUGACUGAGUAAUCAGCUGUUCGACCCACAUGAUGAAAUGCAUUCGUUAUAAAAUACAGAACUGGAUAUUGUUUUUAAUAAAUGUCAAAGUCCCAUCUGAAUGAUGAUCAUAUCAGUUGUAUCAUAAGAGAAAACAAAAAAAAGCCUAAUUGAAAAAUUACAAAUAUUUAUAAGGCUGCAAUAAAUACACAUUUUAUAGAGCAUUGCAUGAAAAUGCAAUUAAGAGAAUUCUGUUUUCUUCCUUCAAUAAAAAUAUGUAGAAUGAUGACGACAUCAGUCCCAGCAUAAGUGCCAAACUAUCAGCUACAGCCAAAUAGAAAGAAACUGAACUACGACCAACAGUCUAGUACUCAGGCUAGGAGGCCGUCUGACUGCUUCUCAACAGAAGUCAUGUUUUAGAUUCAGAUACACAGCUUUAACACUGCUGAGCUGAUGGGAUCUUUUGGAAGUAAUGUCCACUGACUUAGUCCAUGUCCACUGUUCAAAGAGAACAUAGAAAUGAUGAUUAGUAGAAUGAUGGUGAUUCUGGUCCUGAUCGAACCAAAGAUGAUAAUGUCCAAAACGAUGGUCAAUGGUGACGGUGCUGGUGCUGAUGACAAGGUUGAUGGUGACCAGAACAGUAAAGACCAUCAUUCCUCUCUUUUGGGCCUCUUCGUGUCUCAGCAUGUAGGUAAUAAUGUCUGGUGUCCUGGUGGAGUUCAGAUAUUCAGGUCCCUCUGUUGUCUGGAGUCUCUAAUCCAGGAAGAAUGCUGCACUGGGUCCCUACAUGGAGGACAGACAGAAAGAGAGACAAAAAAAAGAAAAUGAUAAUCUCAACAUGCUUAGAUGAAAACUGGUUGAUGUGUUUUGUUUCACAAUUCUAAAAACAGCAAAAAGUAAAGAGGGAGGAGCCUUGGCUGGGGCGGGGGAGUUGUUGGGGGGUCUUAAGACUUUCCACAGAUGUGAUGCUCCUCUUCUAUGCUCCCUCAGGUCAAAAUUCAAGUCCUGCCAUUAUUAGAACACCAACUGCACCUGAAAAACACAGACACACACAGACACACACACACAGACAGAAACACAUACAGAAUGUUAACAUAUGGAUGUGCAGAAACCAUCACUGCAGAAAUAAAGUCAAAAAGCUGCUACAAAGCCUAAAGUAUCCUGCAGCUGAUUAAAUCCCUGGUGGUGGUCCUCAUGGUGUGCUGGAAACACAAAAGGUGUCUCAAGAGUUUGGGCGUCACUGGAGUCAUAACACCUGAAGCGGCCCUCCUUAUCGAGGGAAACCCCUUCGAAUGUAACGGACACCUGUGUGUUCUGCAAAUACCCAAAGAGAAGCGAUGAAAAUAUUUAAACACAAAUAAACUCUAAUAACAUGUAACUAAUGACUAAAAGAUAAAAGCAAGUACUAACCAAGAGAACAUCCUGUACUGAUGACUCUGAGACAUAACAAUGAAAAUAAUAUCAGAAACAGGCAAACUGGUACCAAUAACUUUUUACACCCAGUGAUUCUAUAGCCUUACCUUGAUGCAGGCCACAGCUCUGGCACGGGCAAAAUACUGAGGUGGAAGCUAUAAAUACAAAGACACAUAUGAAGUUGAAAGAAAGAGACUGUAGAACCAUUUUUUUCACACUGAAAUUAUGAACCUAUUCCAGUGAAUUAGGGGGUUUUUACACCUGAAAGACCGAACCAAGCUUCAUGUAUUUCUUACACUGUAUACAUUUGAUCUGGUUAGUUUUGGUGUCACUUUGCAAUUUAGCGAGUGCACUAAAGAAGUUUGCAUGACAUGCCUAUGUCCUGUCAUUAGAGCCAGUUUAGGGGGAGCCUGCCCUCUCCCUAUUUCCCCCAUUACAUCAAAAACAUGCAAAACACCAGAGGGUGCCCAUCCACAAUGUCCACAACGAAUGGGGGUGAGUGGAGAUAAACGGCUAAAAAUGAAAAGGCGCCUCAUAUACAUUCAUGACGUCAGUGAACACAAAUAGCCAAUGAGCUGCUUUUUUAGUGAAACACAUCCGUUUAUUUUGUAAAAUUAAAGGAAAGUUCUGGGCAAGUGAUUAGAAAUAGCAAGUUCUCUGCUGUCGUCAUCACCCAUGUGGGCUGCGUCUCCCUAUACUUGACACUGACUGGUUUGUAGAGGAGCGGGCGCCCAACAUC